CGGUGUAUAACUGGCGUGAUGGUGGGACCUCCUACCGGUGGGCUUUUCCUCGCUAGGGGCGGCCCAACUAAUAUCCCGUCGCGGUGCUCUUUAAUGAGUGUCGAGUCGGGCCGGUACGUUUAUUUGAACAAAAUUAGAGUGCUUAAAGCAGGGCUAUCCUCGCCCGAAUACUGCGUGCAUGGAAAUAAAUGGAAUAGGACCUCGGUUCUAUUUUGUUGGUUUUCGGAAACCCCGAGGUAAUGAUUAAUAGGGACAGAUGGGGGCAUUCGUAUUGCGACGUUAGAGGGUGAAAUUCUUGGAUCGUCGCAAGACGGACAGAAGCGAAAGCAUUUGCCAAAAAUGUUUUCAUUAAUCAAGAACGAAAGUUAGAGGUUCGAAGGCGAUCAGAUACCGCCCUAGUUCUAACCAUAAACGAUGCCAGCUAGCGAUCCGCCGAAGUUCCUCCGAUGACUCGGCGGGCAGCUUCCGGGAAACCAAAGCUUUUGGGUUCCGGGGGAAGUAUGGUUGCAAAGCUGAAACUUAAAGGAAUUGACGGAAGGGCACCACCAGGAGUGGAGCGUGCGGCUUAAUUUGACUCAACACGGGAAACCUCACCAGGCCCAGACACCGGAAGGAUUGACAGAUUGAUAGCUCUUUCUUGAUUCGGUGGGUGGUGGUGCAUGGCCGUUCUUAGUUGGUGGAGCGAUUUGUCUGGUUAAUUCCGAUAACGAACGAGACUCUAGCCUGCUAAAUAGGCGUACCUUAUGGUAUCGCGAAGGCCCCCGGCUUCGGCCGGUGGGUUUUUACUACCAACGUACAAACAAAUCUUCUUAGAGGGACAGGCGG
rnacentral:rRNA from 1 species